ensembl:lncRNA novel transcript
ACUGUUGUUUGCCGCCUUCGCAGACCCGCCGCUGACACCCAUCCCUCUGAAUCCGGCAGGGUGUCUGCUGUGCUCCUGAUCCAGUGAGGCGCCCAUUGCCACUCCCGAUUGGGCUAAAGGCUUGCCAUUGUUCCUGCAUGGCUAAGUGCCUGGGUUCGUCCUAAUCGAGCUGAACACUAGUCACUGGGUUCCAUGGUUCUCUUCCGUGACCCACGACUUCUAAUAGAGCUAUAACACUCACCGCAUGGCCCAAGAUUCCAUUCCUUGGAAUCUGUGAGGCCAAGAACCCCAGGUCAGAGAACACGGGGCUUGCCACCAUCUUGGAAGUGGCCCGCCGCCAUUUUGGAAGUGGCCCACCACCAUCUUGGGAGCUCUGUGAGCAAGGACCCCCCGGUAACAUUUUGGCGACCACGAAGGGACCUCCAAAGCGCCUCCAUCAGAGAGCUCCAUCCAGACCUAGACUUGGACAAUAGGCAGUUGUUUGCUUGCCUCUGGCUCUGCUCACUCUCCAUGGGGGUCUAUAGCUGGUGAUCAUCUUGUAUACCUAAUUCUGGCUUCAUCUUCAGACUCGGACAGCCAGGAAUCCAGGAAUGUGCAGCAUGGAUGCCCAAGUCUGAGUGGAGGUUGCAUCAGUUUCAAAGACAUUGUGCUCUUCCCUGCCGUGGUGGAGUGGUGAGCCGGUUGACAUCCCGGAAAAGGUUGUUAGGGAGUGGAGGUGGGUGGAAGGUGAGAAAUUAUUUAAUGGGUACAAUAUAUGUUAUUUGAGAGAUGGAUGCCUCAAAGCUCUGACUUAACCACUGUGCAAUCUAUGCAUGAAACAAAAUUGCACUUGCACCCCAUAAAUUUAUACAAAUAAAAAAGAAGGUUGUUUAGAACCCAGACAGUUUCCCAUCCAAUAGAGACUUUCAGAGAGUGCAAUGCUAUCGUUUGUUUAGAAGUAAUCUCGAAUUCCCAGAGUAAUGGGCACACUUACAUUUAAACAAAAGCACAAGCACAAUGUACAUUUCAAACCCAAAUAUAAGCUAUUUUGUGCUAAUGUAAGGAACUGGAUACUUAGAAGUUGACCAGAGAAAAACAACUUACUUGACUUGAAGAAUUUUGCUAAAUAAUUUAAAAUUGUCUUCCCCAUGUAUGACUGCUAAGAAUGAUUCUAAAUUUGUGUUUAAGCUUCUGUGUAUUUACCACUUCUAUCCCAGAUAUGGCAUGCCUGGAAUAAAACAGGCACUCAAUAA